rnacentral:rRNA from 1 species
CCUACGGGUGGCAGCAGUGAGGAAUAUUGGUCAAUGGACGAGAGUCUGAACCAGCCAAGUAGCGUGAAGGAUGACUGCCCUAUGGGUUGUAAACUUCUUUUAUAUGGGAAUAAAAUGUUCCACGUGUGGGUUUUUGUAUGUACCUUAUGAAUAAGGAUCGGCUAACUCCGUGCCAGCAGCCGCGGUAAUACGGAGGAUCCGAGCGUUAUCCGGAUUUAUUGGGUUUAAAGGGGGCGUAGGUGGAUUGUUAAGUCAGGUGUGAAAGUUUGGGGCUCAACCGUAAAAUUGCAGUUGAAACUGGCAGUCUUGAGUAGAGUAGAGGUGGGCGGAAUGCGUGGUGUAGCGGUGAAAUGCAUAGAUAUCACGAAGAACUCCGAUUGCGAAGGCAGUACACUGGAGUGCAACUGACACUGAGGCACGAAAGUGUGGGUAUCAAACAGGAUUAGAUACCCUGGUAGUC